rnacentral:rRNA from 1 species
UACGUAGGCAGCGAGCGUUGUUCGGAGUUACUGGGCGUAAAGAGUGCGUAGGCGGUUUUCUAAGUUUGGUGUGAAAUCUCCCGGCUCAACUGGGAGGGUGCGCCGAAGACUGGAAGGCUUGAGUAUGGGAGAGGUAAGCGGAAUUCCUGGUGUAGCGGUGAAAUGCGUAGAUAUCAGGAGGAACACCAGUGGCGAAGGCGGCUCACUGGUCCGGUACUGACGCUGAGGUGCGAAAGCGUGGGGAGCAAACAGG